GUCCCCAUCGUCUAGCCCGGCCUAGGACACCACCCUUUCAAGGUGAAGACACGGGUUCGAAUCCCGUUGGGGACGCCA
rnacentral:tRNA from 1 species